rnacentral:rRNA from 1 species
GAUGAACGCUAGCUACAGGCUUAACACAUGCAAGUCGCGGGGCAGCAUGGGGGUUGCUUGCAAUCCCCGAUGGCGACCGGCGCACGGGUGAGUAACGCGUAUUCAACCUGCCCUUCACCACGGGAUAACCCGGCGAAAGUCGGACUAAUACCGUAUGUUGUCCAUUGACGGCAUCCGAUUUGGACGAAAGGCUUGGCGGUGAGGGAUGGGGAUGCGUCCGAUUAGCCAGACGGCGGGGUAACGGCCCACCGUGGCUACGAUCGGUAGGGGUUCUGAGAGGAAGGUCCCCCACACUGGAACUGAGACACGGUCCAGACUCCUACGGGAGGCAGCAGUGAGGAAUAUUGGUCAAUGGGCGUAAGCCUGAACCAGCCAAGUAGCGUGCAGGAUGACGGCCCUAUGGGUGGUAAACUGCUUUUAUGCGGGGAUAAAGUGGCCCACGUGUGGGCUUUUGCAGGUACCGCAUGAAUAAGGACCGGCUAAUUCCGUG